ACUUAAAGCAAAACAAGAGUUAUUCUCAGGCAGUCACUUCUGCCAGUGAAAUGAGCCAGGAAACCCACAGGGGUAGGAAAUUCCAGAACCCAGGCAAAUUCUAUGGAGACCAUGUCUCCACAGCUGCCCAAGCAGCUCAUGCAUACUGCGCACCAUGGGGGUGGCUAGGCCCUGAGAGGAAAUGAAAGUCCCUGAGCCCAGGCUUCUGGGGAACAAGGCAUAGGCCCCAGGACAGGCAGGGAGUUGGUGGGGGGGGGGGGAGGGGUCCCUCCAGGUCUACAGGGGCCCUGAAAUGUGGCGGUCGCUGGUAAUUCUAUGAGAACAGGCAGGCAGGAAGGAGGCUGGUAUGGGAAGUCGCACUCUCACAGAUGUUAGCAUAAAAGAGCCUGUUUACUUGGUGAUUCGUAUUGUGAAAUAAAAGGUUCAGGUUUCAUCUGCUUCGGGAAGAAGGGUUAUUUUCCCCCACGGUGCGGUCUGUGCUGUGGCACUGAGAAUGAACCGUGCUGACCGGCUUCCCUGAUGCCUCUCUCAGCAAGGUGGGAAUCCAGACUUGGGUUGGGUCAUCUCCUCCGGUGCCGUGAUAGGUGGGGGCUGGGGACCCGUCUGUAUUUCUGCAUUGAUGCAAUAAGUAAAGGGCAGAGGAGUCAGCUAGUCUCGCUUCGGGUUCUCUAUAUGGGAGCCUCCCGAAAGGUCACCGACACCAGCUUCCUCCCAAUGCCACUGCAGCACUGAGGGUGGGAAGGACUGGCUGAGCUCAGUCAGAUGCAUAAACUGCUCACAAGUAGGAAGAGAUGGCUUAGACCUGCACAGGCAGCCCAGAUCGCUCUCACCGGCAAGAGGGAAUUUUUAUUGGUUCUCUGCCUCAUCUAGUUUAACGAUCUACUAGAAAUUCCUGGAGGUGGACUAGAGAUGUCCUCACUUUCCCUUUCCAGAACUGACUUCAUACUUUGCUAACAUGGACCUUUGGCUUGUUAUUGGCAGACAUGUGGGUAAAUGGCCCAAUCCUCAGUAGACUGAGGUUCAUAGAGCGUGUGUGGGAUGAGCCUCGGAUGGGACCGGAAGAGCAGAGUGGACCGAUGCGUGGCUCUUCUGCCCCGGGUCCGGGGAAAAGGGUGAGCAUUCUGGACCCCAGAGACGUGCUGCUUCUCUAAAGCCUCGGUUGACAAGGGCAAACACCACCUAACCCCUUAAUCCAGUCUCUAGAAACAACGAGAUCAUCUGCCACCAUUAUUUAAAAUGCACAGAAACCCAAACCAACAGACAAGCCUUAACCCCUUACUUCUUGCAGGCAUUGUGCUCUGCAAGGGAUAAAAUAAACCUCUGAAGCAACAGCUCACAGGAACUGGAAGAGAGCCACACGUGGUCUCGGGGAUGCCUGGGACACGAGCUGAGCUUUCAAAGCCCAGUAUUCUGUUGCUUGUGAUAGAAGACCAAAAUGUAGCCCAUCAGAGUGUGGCCCUUCUCCGUCAAUUCUGCACAAACAAAAAUGAGUUAUAAAAAAGAAUCCCGGAAGAAUGAUUUCCAUUUCAAACACCUGAGAGAUCAUUUACGCUGAGGAGUCCUGUUGAUCACGUGGUGUCUGUUGGCCUCACUGAUUUUGAUGGCAUAGGUAUAAGAGUAAAUGAAGAGGCUGUCUACGUUGUGUGGUUUUAAGGGUGGGCCAGAAAUUCCACCAGGAAAGCUUUCUUUUUGUCUUUCACAUCUUUGCUCCUUUUAAACUUGCAAAUAACCCUUCACAGCACAGACAUUUGGUGGACACAUCAAUCAUUGGUCUAUUGGUGAUAGCGGAAGACCUGGGAGCUUCAGGCCUUGGACGGGGACUGGCAAGAGGAAUAGGGAGAAGACAGAUUCAGAGGAAAGCAUGCACCCGAGGAGCGUGGGGCAGACAGAAGAAUAUCCUGGGGAAACCAAGCAUCUCUGAACCUAGCCUACCUCCGGUUUGGGCUGUGCUCCCUCCUACAUACGGUCCUGUGAUUAACCAAGUCUAUCAUGUGAAAGGGGUAGAGCUUCUGUAGACACGGUGACCACAGGCUUUUAAUGAAAACCCCCUUGUGAUAAAACCACAGUCAUAUGCAACAAAUUAAGUCGUAGCAAGGCAUUGGAAAAGAUGUUUUCAGCGAUGAAAAUAUUACUAUUAGGAAGACCAUGUAAUUUGUCAUUCAGAUGAAGACCCAAAAAGGCUACCACUUAUAUCAAGAUGGCUCGACAUACAGAUGAACUGCGUUAUCCUAUGUAAGCAUCCAUUUUUAGCCAUGAAGAACCAUUAUUAUCUUUCUGGUAUAUUGGAUAAUUAAUUUUCUUCUUUAGUUAUCCUUGAGAGUUGAGUGAUUGAUUCCUAGCUACUACUGUUUACAAAUGGUAUUUGUUUUCUAGUUCCUGAUCUAGUCUGCCAUAAUGUAUUAGCUGCUUAGUUAACUCAAUAAACUCUUCACUGAUAGCGGACCUUGCUUGGGGUGACCAGUGGCAGGCCCAUGCACCUGCAAAAGUUAGGUGCUUCUCCAACAGGAAGGCAGUUCUUAUAUACACGAUAAGGAUUGCUCCUGGAAGACUUUGCCACAAGAAAGAUCUGGAAAGGAGGCUGAGUCCUUGCAGGAGGAAAGAAAACCUUUUCAAGCAGUGAAGGAAAAUGCUGAGUAAGAGAGAAGGGAAAGAGGCUUCGUAAAACCUCUGUGACCAAAAGAGUGAUUGGCUUAUUUGUUUUACAAAGAUAUGCUAUAGUUUUAUUUCCACGUUUCCCCAAGUUGCAUUGGACCAAUUCCCAUGAUGCCAAGCUCUGACUACUCCUCUUCCUCUACUUAAAAAGUAAAGACUGUGUGACGUUGUCGUCCCCAGGUAGAGACCUUCAUGUCCCAAGGACAGGAUCCGUCACUGGGAAUAGAUUCUGAAUCACAUGAAGCAGUUGCUUGACCUGUUUUGAUUUUGUUUGCUCUGCUUAGGAAAUAGAGUAUCACUCAGGAAGUUCUAAGGUUUACCCUCCUGAGCUAAUAUAAGAAGAAGAAGAACAACAACAGCAGUGCUGAGAAUGAUGCAUGGAUUUCAAUAUAAUGACCUGUAAACACUUAUUCUAUGCUAUGCUUUUUGUCAAAAAAGCAGAGGGAGCAUUUUAAUGCGAUCACAUGCACAUACCAGGCCCUGAUUUUCCUAAAUUGCACUUACUAAAUGGAAUUUCUCUCCCAAAGCACAGCCCCAUUUCCCCCCUAAGGGACAUGCUAUUUAAAUUCUCCAGUGAAACUUGAUUCUGUACAGUUCAAGGUUGAGCCAAAGCUGUAAUAAAUCCACCUUUAAACACUU